rnacentral:rRNA from 1 species
ACUUUCAGUAGGGAGGAAGGUAGUGUAGUUAACACCUGCAUUAUUUGACGUUACCUACAGAAGAAGCACCGGCUAACUACCGUGCCAGCAGACCGCGGUAAUACGGAGGGGUGCGAGCGUUAAUCGGAAUUACUGGGCGUAAAGCGCAUGCAGGCGGCCUGUUAAGUCAGAUGUGAAAGACCCGGGGCGUUAACCUCGGAAUUGCAUUUGAAACUAGGCAGGCUAGAGUCUUGUAGAGGGGGGUAGGAAUUUCAGGUGUAGCGGUGAAAUAGCGUAGAGAUCUGAAGGAAUACCAGUGGCGAAGGCGGCCCCCUCGGACAAAGACUGACGCUCAGAUGCGAAAGCGUGGGGAGCAAACAGGAUUAGAUACCCCUGGUAG